UGACCAUGGCCGCCACUCACAAUAGAUAAUAAUGCAGUGCUAUCGAUUGUCGAAAAAAGCAAGUCUUUCGCAAUAUUUACAUUCGACUGCAUUGCAGUUGGUCGUCGACAACAAAAGCGUUGACAUGGAACAACUCGUGACUCAGCUGGGAAUGUUAAUAAUUGUUUGCAAAAUUUACAAUAUUAGCACAAUAACUGUUUUCGAAAGGGAGAUUCUCGGCUUUUUGCUGUGACUUUUGAAAUGCCAAGUAGCAAACAACACACAGCCGGUUUUCUGAUUUGUUUGUGUUGUUAUCAAACAAGAGUCUUCGAUUGACAUUUGCGGCAAAGAAACUGAAACUGGUUCCAAACUCAAUAAGUAUUGUAAAUUUAAAUGAUUUAAGUACGGAUAACUGCGCUUGAAAGUAAAUUCUAAAAUAAACUUUGAUUAAAAACAAAAAGUCAACGAUUUCAUUUAGCACUUUUUAUACUCUUUCCUUCUUUCUUGCUCUGUCUUUCUCAGCUUCUUACUGUUUGUUGUUGUCUUUAGUCAUACACACAGACAGACAUCGUGGAGUUGGAGGAGAGCAUGUUUUGGGUUAUAUGUUUACGAUUCCAAAACACGUUCGUUUGUGUUUUUUCAUGUCUCGUUUAACAAACAUUUCUUUCGUUUUGACAAUGUGCCAAUUGACCCAAAUGCUUGGGCAUGAUGAAUCACACAAACAGGAGUAAUUCAGGAUUAUAUUCUGCUUUUAAAGGUUCAGGAAUCAGAAUCCAACUGUUAAUUGAUUCGACAGGUGAAUCAGAGGAACGUUUGCUGUUGUUGAAUCAGCUAGAUUUCUGAGAACACAUGUAUUUAUUAUUG